rnacentral:misc_RNA from 1 species
UUCGAGCGUCAUUACAACCCUCAAGCUCUGCUUGGUAUUGGGCCUCGCCGGUUCUGGCGGGCCUCAAAAUCAGUGGCGGUGCCAUUCGGCUUCAAGCGUAGUAAUUCUUCUCGCUCUGGAGUUCCGUCUGCGUGCUUGCCAGCAACCCCCAAUUUUUUAAGGUUGACCUCGGAUCAGGUAGGGAUACCCGCUGAACUUAA